CUAGCAACCCAUUCCACAGUUGCAAAACCCGUGAAACGUGAAGGGCAACACCGCCUUACCAUGUAAACAGGUUCUUCGGCAACACUCUAGGAAAGAUCAAAACAAACGAUGAGGCACAAAGGGAGACCCAUCAAAGCCAUAAUCUUACAUCCAAGGGUCUCCCAGAAUACUACAACCCAAGAGAGAUCACACUUCACAAGGAUCCAAAAAACACAGAUGCAAGAACCAGGCCAAGGUAGAUGGACCAGUAAGACGAAACAUCACAGAUUGCUCCAAAAGGUUGAUGAGGCAGAGCUUGGUCAGCCAAUGAAGCUUUGGAGUCAGCCAUAGAUGGCAUAGCCUAUGAAGGACCCCCCAAGGUACCCACAUCCCUUAAAAAUGCAAUCCCUUCCAGAGCCACAAAGGUAGAAACUGAUGGAAAACCAUUAAUAACUGUAUGCAACACCCAAGGCUAGACAAAGCAACUCUAAUCUAUGAUAGAUCAAAGAAGGCUCUCUUAAAUAAGCACCAUCUACCACCAAAAACCACUUAAACUUAUUUAUGCAUAUCAUCCCACCCGGAGGGGGAGAUCAUAACCCACUAC
rnacentral:misc_RNA from 1 species